rnacentral:lncRNA from 1 species
UAGCGCUGGAGACUUAGCUUUGGUCUUGCUAGGGGCCGGAGCUGGAACCGUGGCAGGAGGAGAAGCCAAAGGAGCUGGUGGUGGGGUAGCUGGAGGAGGAGUAGCAGGAGGGGGAGAAGCAGGUGGUGGGGUAGCCUGAGGUGGAGAAGCCGGUGGGGGAGUUGCGGGAGGUGGGGUAGCUGGGGGAGGAGUAGCCGGUGGAGGAGAAGCUGGUGGUGGGGAGCUAACGGGCGGGGGAGUCGCUGGAGGAGGAGUGGAAACUGGUGGUGGAGAAGCUGUCACUGGAGGUGGUGAUGAUGUAGGAGGAGGAGUGGAAGCUGGUGGCGGAGAAGUAGUUGUGGGUGUUGGAGGUGGUUGAGUAGUAGGCGGAGGUGUGGAAGCGGGUGGGGUCGGCGGCACCGGCGUGGAUGUCGGAGGAUUACUAGGAGUAGGAGGAGCUUGGCCUAAAGCGCCAGCUACAGCAAUGCAAAACAAAGCUGAUAAGAACAAAAACUUGUUAUUAAGCAUCAUGUUGGAAACAAUGGUGACCCUUUAAUCCUGCACACCCUCUCCGCUUAAACUACGCCCAGCCGCGCAAGCAAAAGAGGGAGAAGAAUAGCAAGUAUGAGAAAUGAAAAGAUGGUGAUAUUUAUAUAUAGGAUAUGGAAAUUUCUAUAUCAUAUUUCAAUUUUAAAUCCCAAAAACAAAUAAUUUAAUAACAUUUUUAUUUUAUUACUAAUGGGAAAAUUAUAUUACUAAUCCUAUACAAAUUCCUAUUUUAAUUUAGUGCAAUUUAACUCGUUCGUUGUGUUAUUAAUAGGUUCAAAAUUGAUAUUCGAUCGUACAAGCAGAGAUGUAGAAAUCAAUCAAUUUUGUUAAAUAAACAAUAAAUCUCAAUCUUAGUCAAAUGCUUAAAGCUGUUAUAAAAAAAAAAUCACGUCACCACUUUAACAAUAAUAAGUAUCAAAUUAUAUAGAAGUAAAGGAUUAAGUCUCUAAUUUCAAUUUAGUAAAGGGACUAAACUGGAAUUAAAGGGUUAGAGUUUUUUCCUCGUUUGGUGAGGUAAAAUAAAAACCCUAGUGGGGCAUAGUUAUAAUGUCACUUUGAUGAUUAUAAAUGAUGCGUUAGUUAGUCAUACUUUAGGUAAAAAACUGUAAGGUGAGUUAGUGUAGAUUGAAAUAUUUUAGUGAAAGGUUAAUUUAUACCUUAAAAAUUUUGCAAUAUUUGGUAGUUCCAUGAAAUGAUUCCCACUAUCAUCAACUUUUCAAUCAUUCAAAUAGGUUUUAAUUUGUUUUGUUGUGAAAUUUUUAAGGAGUAGAUUUGAUUAUGGAUCAGGUCGGGUUGUUAUAAAAUUUUAGGUUUGUUUUUUAAGUUUGAAUUUGACUUGAAAAAUAGGUUUAAAUUUUUACUUAAGCCCAGUCUAGAUAAAAAUAUUAAACCCAAGUCCGGACGUAUUAAACUUUUUAUAUUAUUAUUUAUAUAAAAACAAAUUUAAAAAUAUAAUACAUCAAAUACACUAAAAAUAUUAAAAUAGAUGUUCCCCAACAAAUUCAAAAUACAUUAAAAAAGUUUUUAUACUUAGCAAGCAAAUGCCUCUAAAAUAGUAGCAAAAUUAACAACAAAAGAGUUAUAUAAUAUCCAAACAAUAACAACAAAAUAGUAGUAAUAUAAUAGCAAAAUGGCAGCAAAAUAACAGUAGAAAAAAAAUUUAGGCAAAUUCGGGCUGAGCUGUGUCAAGCCCAGGUAAAAAAAGAUCUUACCCGAGGUCGGCCCUUUUAGAAAACGAGCCUUAUUUUAUUGUCGAAACCCAUUUUCUGAACCUAUAUUUUUCCCAAAUCCUCCCACUUUUGGGGCGAUCUUUCGGGCUUGGGCAGGUGGCUCGGCCCAUGAUUAGGUCUAACGAUGGGUUCUUUUGUUAGUAAUGUUUAUUUGGUGUUUGAGUUUUUUCUGUCUUAAUUUGGUACCUAAUUUUGGCUUUAAUUUUUUUUUCCAAUUAAGCACUUAAGUUUGGCUUCAAUGUUCAAAUUGGUACCUAAUUUUUUUUAUCCAAAUUAAUUACCUAUAUUUUGUUUACCAAAGCACGUGUGUCAAACAUUCAUUGGGUCAUAUGAUGACAUUUGGCUUAGGUAUCAAAUGAAUAUCAAAUCCGAACUUGAGUACCAAAUUGAAACAAAAAACACAAAUACCAACUAAGUAUUGAAGCUAAACUCAAAUAUGGAAUGGUAUGUUAGCCCAUUUGUAAACAAAAUUUCAAGGAAGACUUAAAAUUUAGCAUCUACUGAGCUUUCAUUUUCCCUUUUGUAUGUUACAAUUGAUGUUUGUUUAACGCAUAAACUUGGUAUCUUUUUUCCCGUAAUGAUAUUUAAGCUUUUUUUUAUACUUGAUAUCCAAACUUUCAUUCUGUCACACCAUUUUGAGCAAUUUUUGUACAACUAUAUUAAAAUCUGUAGUUUGGUUAUCUUCAACAUUAAGGAUUUCUACGACAUACUUUUUGCGCAUUCCUCCCAUGACAUUAAGAAGUAGGGAGGCGAAAGUGGUGGUGCUAAAAGGAUCAGUUUAUCUAAUUAAGUGGAGAGUUGAAAAGGGAAAUAAAUUAGGAAGGAGUAGGGGACUCACACAUCCAUAACAUAUGCAUAUGUUAAGAUUAAAAAUUUACACAACCCAAUUGCAAAUGGUGAGACUUGGACUUGGAUACUCAAGGAUCCAAGAUCUCGCCUUAACCAACAAUGUUAAGAUCUCAUUGACUCUUUUGGGGUUUUUUCAAAUUCAAAUAUAAGGAUUAAAAAUUAUGAUAUAACUCAAUAUAAUAUUAAAGAGUAAAAAUUAAUCAAAAUUUACAUAUAUCACUCAUUUAAUCAUGUGUACAGAUAAAAGGAAACCACUCGUCCUCUUGCCAACCCUACGUGUAACAUAAUUCACCAUAAAUUCCAUUUACCAACAUAUACAUACAUACAUAAAUAUAAAAGAGAACUUCAUUGGUCUUGGACUGGAUUGGCUACAAACUUUGACAAAAGGCAUGUGUAGGAGGAUUAAAUUCGAUGAAUUGCAUGAUAGUUUCUCCUUUUUGAUAAUUUAGUACAUGAGAGAAUAAUGAUGAUUGUGGGGGGGGGGGUGCUCCAUCGAAAUAGCUGGAAUUUAUUUAUUUUAGUGAACUGGCAAAUGUAAUUUGUACGCCAAGUUAUAAGGUGAAAAAGGGAGAAAUCAUAUAGAUUUGGUUGGUAAUGGUAUGUUGAUGUUGAAGCACCUGCGGUGCAACGCCACAAUUAGUAGGCCCCUAGCCCCGCUGUCACCCCAUCAUAUGUGCUUUUGGAUGGAUCCAACAUUUUCGUGUUCUUUCCUUCUUCAACAUCAUCAUUAUUAAUUAGUUACUCUUCAAUUUCUAUAUGUAAUUUGCUUUCUUUUCAUUCAUAGGUUUUCUGUUUUUCUUUCUUUGAUUUUGUCUUGUGCACAACUGACGUCCUCCAUUAUUUUUCCCCUUUUGUAUAAUUGGGUUUGUGACUUCAAUAGUCUCCGUUUGUAUGGAAAUUAUUUUAUGGAUUUUUUCAUCAUAUCAUUUACGAUAUAUUUUUAGUUAUUUAAUGUUAUUUUAGUAAUUUUUUUUAUAUCAUUGAUACAUAAUUUUGUUAAUUUUUUUACCCAGAACUUUUAAUCUCGAACUUAGAACCCCGAACUCCGAAUCUUGAACCUUGAAUUCUAAACUUAAACCUUGAAUCUUGAAACCCUCAAGGUUCAGGUUCAAAGUUUGCAGUUCAGAGUUUGAGGUUUGAAAUUUAAGGUCUGAGUUUAAGGUCAAGGUUCAAGGUUCAGGAUUCUGGGUUUGAGGUUCAAGAUAAAAAAAAUUACUAAAAUUAUAUGUCAAUGACAUGAAAAAAUUAUUGAAAUGUCAUUAAAUAAUAGGAAAGAGACCAUGGAUGAUGUGGUGGGAAUGGUCCAAAAAUAAUUUCUCAUUUGUAUGGGAUAUUGUUCCUUAUCUAUUAUAAUUUGGUAUCUCUAUUUUUAUAAUAUUAUUAGUAAAUCCAAAUUUAUAACGAUGUUGAUUGCUUCAAUAAAAUGAUAAGGUGGAUUUUUAUAGGAAGAAAGUUAUUUGAGUUUAUUCGAAGUUAUAAUUUAUAAUUGUAUUAACAAUUACAAACUAAACCAAUUAUUAAAAAUAAUUAACUUAACUCAAACUAAGUCAUCAGAAUAAAUUUGAUUGUGGGAUUUGAAUUUGAGCCCUCCUUAGGCUUCAUUAGCUUAUUUGGGCUCUAUUUACUAAAAGAAAAUUAUCAACAAAAAAAUUCAUGACGAUCCAUUAAUAAUUUUAUUAAUUUGAAGUUUAUUUAAAAAAAAAGAGUAGAAGGAAGUAGUAAAGGAAUUUUCAUGCAUCAAUAAUUUAUAAUUUAAACUAUGAAAUUUCAAAAAAGAAGAAAUUCAUGUUGAAAGUGAUACUAUCAAGCAAUUUAGAAGUGUAAAAUUUUCAAUAUCAGCUGGAUAUUUAAUGUCAAAUAAACUAAAGAAAUGAGAAAGACAAGCCAAUUGUCCACAAUGAUUAACUUGUUCCUAAAAAGAAAGUUGUACAUAGACUUUGCUUAUAAAUCAAUCCAAUUUUUUUUUAUAUAAAAGGAUUGAGUUAUUUGUACCACAACCCAUUUAAUUAUUAUUUUAAUUAUCGACUGAGUCUUAGUUCAGUUGGUAUUGGCAUUAAUAUCAGUGUAGGAGGAG